GUCUAUGGCUAUGCUACCCUGAACAAGCCCGAUCUAAUCCGUAUGAUAUUGGUGGAAGCUAAGCAGGGUCAGGCCUGGUUAGUACUUGGAUGGGAGACCACCUAGGAAGAGCAGAUGCUGUAGGCA
rnacentral:rRNA from 1 species